UAGGGAAUAUUGCACAAUGGGGGAAACCCUGAUGCAGCGACGCCGCGUGAGUGAUGAAGGCCUUCGGGUCGUAAAGCUCUGUCGUAUGGGACUAACACAAUGAAGGUACCAUGCAAGAAAGGAUCGGCUAACUUCGUGCCAGCAGCCGCGGUAAGACGAGGGAUCCUAGCGUUGUCCGGAUUUACUGGGCGUAAAGCGCGCGCAGGCGGACUGGUCAGUCCGGGGUGAAAUCUCACGGCUCAAUCGUGAGGGGUCCCUGGAUACUGCCAGCCUUGAGGGGCUCAGAGGAGAGUGGAAUUCCGGGUGUAGUGGUGAAAUGCGUAGAUAUCUGGAGGAACACCGGUGGCGAAGGCGACAUCCUGGACCAAUUCUGACGCUGAGGAGCGAAAGCCAGGGGAGCAAACGGGAUUAGAUACCCCAGUAGUCCCUGAGCGGGCUGGCAAGGCGCAU
rnacentral:rRNA from 1 species